rnacentral:rRNA from 1 species
CAGGUAAAGAGCAUGGGUAAGAAUGCAAGUCGAACGGGAAUCAUCGGGUAGUAAUAUUCGGUGGUUCUAGUGGCGAAAGGGUGCGUAACACGUAGCUAUCUACCUUGAAGUGGGGGAUAAUCCCGCGAAAGCGGGACUAAUACCGCAUGUGAUCGAGAGAUCAAAGUUGGGGAUCGUAAGACCUGACGCUUUAAGAUGAGGCUGCGGCCUAUCAGGUAGUUGGCGGGGUAAUGGCCCACCAAGCCUAAGACGGGUAGCUGGUCUGAGAGGACGACCAGCCACACUGGAACUGAGACACGGUCCAGACACCUACGGGUGGCAGCAGUCGAGGAUUUUUCUCAAUGGGCGAAAGCCUGAAGGAGCGACGCCGCGUGAGGGAUGAAGGUCUUCGGAUUGUAAACCUCUGUCAUGCGGGAUCAAUGCUUACGACCCAACACGUCGUAAGUUGAUAGUACUGCAAGAGGAAGCAGUGGCUAACUCUGUGCCAGCAGCCGCGGUAAUACAGAGACUGCAAGCGUUGUUCGGAUUCAUUGGGCGUAAAGGGUCCGCAGGUGGUCCAGCAAGUCGGACGUGAAAUCCCGUAGCUUAACCACGGAAAGUCGUUCGAAACUGCUGGGCUAGAGGACUGGAGAGGAGACUGGAAUAGUUGGUGUAGCGGUGAAAUGCGUAGAUAUCAACUAGAACACCAGUAGCGAAGGCGAGUCUCUGGACAGUUCCUGACACUCAUGGACGAAAGCCAGGGGAGCAAACGGGAUUAGAUACCCCGGUAGUCCUGGCCCUAAACGGUGCUUACUUGGUGUGGGGGGAGUCGACCCCCUCCGUGCCGUAGCCAACGCGUUAAGUAAGCCGCCUGGGAAGUACGGUCGCAAGAUUAAAACUCAAAGGAAUUGACGG